GGCGAGAUGACCGAGCGGUCUAAGGUGCUCGACUCAAGAAAUAACCCUUCUUGCGCGUCUUCACGUGUCCUAUUCGAGUCUCGAAAGAGGCGUGAGUUCGAAUCUCACUCUCGUCA